GAAGUCGACAUCACGAGCUGCCAUCUGGGGGGUGGCACCAGGCUGUGAAGGAUCCACAGACUGGCAUAUGCAGGAGGAAAUGGGGCGGGCGAGGAGUAAGGACCCCAAAAAGCAGGGGCAGGGAAGGGCCCUCCCAGCGCCCCACUGUAACAGGGGUCUCAUCAAUGCCCCGUGCUCACUGAAUAAAGCACUGCCAGCGAAAGGUGAAAAGAGGAACAAAGAACACUCUCCUGGACGCCACCCACAGAAAGCCACGUGCAGGCUUGGCCCUCACCUUGGGGACCUUGGACACGGAGCUGGUUAUGUCACAUCUGGCUCUCAGAGCUGGGGCAGCGUCUAGGAGGCCUGAUGUAGAAGGCACUCGGCUAAGCCCUAGUUACCGGCACACGGGCACCAGCGCCCCCUCUCAGCAAACUCCACGUCUUAGGAAAUUAGGACUGGAUUUCCACUUCAUUUUGAAAAUAUGGCCAAGAUCCAUCCACGUGUGGCUGACUCAGAGCUGUGACAUUAAGGGAAAAUAAAGGAAAUGAUUGAGCUGCCUUUUCAGACAACACUGGAAUUUUUGAAGAACCCGAGAAUCAGUAUAUUGAAAGGUCUGCGCCAUGGAGUCGCUGCUUGUGAAGCCCGUGUGCAUCCGAAGUGCUGACAAGGACGAUGGAAAGACGCUUCAUUCAUGAGCUCCUUUAAAAUGCCAGACAGGCCCCUCGACAGGGAUGGGGAGAAUUCAGCAAAUGAAUAAGAUUGGCAACAUAAACCCAAACGUUUGGGGAAAAAACUGAUUUUAUUAUUUUUAUUUUACUUUAUUUUAUUUUUUGAGACAGGGUAUCGCUCUGUCACCCAGGCUAGAGUGCAGUGGCUUGAUCUUGGCUCAUUGCACCCCUGGCUUCCCAGGUUCAAGCGAUCCUCAUGCCUCAGCCUCCCAAGUAGCUAGGACUACAGACACACGCCAUGACACCUGGUUAAUUUUCGUAUUUUUUAUAAGACAGGGUUUCCCCAUGUUGGCCAGGCUGGUCUUGAACCCCUGGGCUCAAGCGGUCCGCCCUCCUCAGCCUCCCAAAGUGCUGGGAUUACAGGCGUGAGCCACUGUGCCUGGCAAAAAUGAGACUUUCAAUGUGCUACUUUAAUAAACUAAGUAUUAAUGUUGAAAACCCAA